AACAUCCAAGAAGAUUUAGAAUUGGUCUCAAUGUCAAUGUUGAAGUGUCAAAUAUAUCAACACCCAAACAACAAAAUUUGUCUUAAAUGUCAAUAUCAAUGUCCAAGUUCAAUUGAUAUUGGCCCCAAUAUCAAUGUUGAGGUCUGAAUAUGAACAUCCAAACGAAGCAUUACGGUUUCACACAAUACAUAAAUAUCUCGGGAGCAAUAUUUUUUCAAUGGUGAUAAAUUUUAUUCAAUCGGGCAGAAUUGGAUCUAGGAAAAAGCAGUGACCUAUAAACUACAAUAUCGGAAUGCAUAUCUCAAGGACGACUAUUCUUAUCAAUAGAUGCAUUGAGUUUCUUGGGAGCGCAACAACAUCGGUGGUGAAACUCGCCUAUCAUUUGGCAAGAGGCAAGUAAACCGUUGCAGUCACGCCUGCACAAGUCCAGAUCGCAACUCAGGAAAGGCAUGAAACAUCCUCCUUCUACAUGUUCACAAACAAAAAAUACAUCGUUUGAAGAAUACCCAGACAACAUGGCAAGUCACGUUUCAGCAAGGACCAGAUGCCAUAAGAUCCAUACAACUCAACAUUGUGAAAUACACAGAAAAUUAGCAUCACGUGGCAAAACCACAGAGAUGCACGUACCUGGACCAAACGCAUAACAAGACGAAAUGACAGUAGCGAUGAGCACAAGAGCCAACAAGCACUGGGCACUUGUGUUCUUCUUGAAUAUUGCCAUGACGGCUUUUUUUUCCUUCUCUAUGUUAUGUCGUUCUUCUGAAUUUUUGCGGGUUGCAAAGCUCUCUUUU
rnacentral:lncRNA from 1 species